UCCAGAGAAGGGAAGCCCUCACCAGAACAUACACCUGGGUAGGGGAGCCACGGAGCCACAAGGGUUGGCAAUUUUUGCUAAGUGGUUGUUUCAGAGGCUAUGGUAGCAAUAUGUAACAUUUCUGGUAAGUUUUUCAUCUGAAAAUCUUCUUGGAGGUGAACAGAGAGGAGAACAAAGCCCUGAGCUCAGCUCCAUAUCCCACUUCAGGGCAAGCAGACGACUCACCUACACCUCUAUUUUAAAAUCAUAGAAUUCUUAGUGUUGGAAAAGACCUUCAAGAUCAUCAAGUUCAACCAUUAAUUCAGCACCACCAUGCUUCACACUACUCCAUGUUCCCACGUACCACAUCCAAACAUUUUUUGAACACUUCCAGGGAUGGUUGCUCAACCACUUCCCUCAGCAGUUCCACUGUUCACAGUUCACUCUUCCAAUGUUUGUCCAUCCUUUCAGUCAAUUUAUUUUCUAAUAUCCAAUUUAGACCUCCUCUAGUGUGACUUGAGGCCAUUUCCUCUUCUAUCACUGGUUGCCUGGGAGAAAAAGUCAACCCCCACAUGGAUACAGCCUUCUUUUAGGGAGUUGUGGAGAGUGAUAAGGUCACCCUGAGCCUCCUUUUCUCCAGGAUAAACACCCCCAGCUCCCUCAGGCACUCCUCACAGGACUUGUGCUCCUGACCCUUCACCAGCUCUGUUGCUCUUCUCUGGACAGGCUCCAGCACCUCAAUGUCCUUCCUGUGGUGAGGGGUCCAGAACUGGGCACAGGAUUCGAGGUGCAGCAUCACCAGUACGGGGAGACAAUCACUGUCCGGGUCCCGCUGGCCGUGCUAUUGCUGAGCCAGGCCAGGAUGCCGCUGGCCUUCGUGGCCACCGGGGCAUUUUCAGGGCAUGUCCCAGGCACUGGUCCCCGCUGCAGCGGCGCGACCGAGGAAGUAAAAGGGCUGCCAUCGCCUUCCCUGGCGAGGCCGCGGCGGCCGGGGCGCAGCCGGCAGCUGCUCGGGGCCGGUUUCCAUGGAGACGGCGGGGGGAACCCUGGCGGAGGGGACAUGUCUGCGGAGACGUGCGGGGGGAGCCAUGGCGGCGAGGGGCGGCGGCCUUAACCCUUCGCUUGGGGGCCAGAGGCUUCCCCGCGGGCAGGGCAGGGAGCCCGGGGCGCUGGGGCGGCUCCGGCUCCGGUUGGCACAGCUCGGCGGGACGCAGCCCUAAUGCAAGGCAGUGACAGGGUGGGCAGCGGAGGAAGGGGAGGAUGAAGAGCGCGUGAAAUUGCUGAGCCCGGCUGUCCCUUCCAUGGACGCCUGGCCGGGUGACUGCUCAACACAACCAUCCUCCGCGGAGAUCUCCCGCAGCAGGCUUAGGGAAGGCACCAGCCAUCCUUCCCAUUAAAUAUUUAGCAGUUUAACCCAGCCGCAUCCUCUGGUGGGAGCGCCGAUGGUGCCUGUGGUCACGCUCCAGUGUAGGAAUACAGGGUGCGGGAAGGUGGUGGCAGAGCUUGGAGUGGCGGGCAAAGCCCCAGCAGGGCUGCACAGGCAAAAGAAACUGCCUGUGUGUGAGUACACGGGCCUGGGCUUCGAACAGGAGAGAGUUGCACAGUUCAGGGUGGUGGUUACCUACUGAGAAGUGCUUGUCACCGUGGUGACCAAGCAAUGCCACAUCUGCCUGGGAGUGGAAAGCAACAGUCCCAGAGCUUUGCUGUUUGAGACCAGUGGGUUAAAUGCAGCUGGCUUCACCUUUUGAAGCCAGGGAUCACAAUCUGUGUUCAAUUUGUAUAUAUGCCUAUGAUGCAAAUUGGUUGGAAUCAGCCUGACACCAACACAGUAGCUAUAUACAUACAAGGAGGACACCAGAAAUGUGUGCUGGUGUCCAGUGCAAGCUGUGUCUUCCUAAAAGAACUGUACAAAAGUGUUAGCAGCAGCCUGGAGUGCACCAGGGCACAAGGAUGGAGGAAAAGUGCAGCGGAAAUCUCUACAUCAAAACCGAAUUUUGCCUAUACUCCUCAGAACCCACCAGCCGCCUCUGGCACUGCCUUGGGGGAUCUCUGCUUGGUGUAGCCACAUCCUUUGAGACCACCUAGCUCAGUUGCAGACAAUAGUGAAAAAUUGGACCAGAAGAAAUCUGAGGAUUCAAAACACAGAGA